rnacentral:rRNA from 1 species
UACGUAGGGGGCAAGCGUUAUCCGGAAUUACUGGGUGUAAAGGGAGCGUAGACGGUAAUGUAAGUCUGGAGUGAAAGGCGGGGGCCCAACCCCCGGACUGCUCUGGAAACUAUGUUACUAGAGUGCAGGAGAGGUAAGCGGGAUUCCUAGUGUAGCGGUGAGAUGCGUAGAUAUUAGGAGGAACACCAGUGGCGAAGGCGGCUUACUGGACUGUAACUGACGUUGAGGCUCGAAAGCGUGGGGAGCAAACAGG